GAUGAACGCUGGCGGCGUGCUUAACACAUGCAAGUCGAACGGGAAACCUUUUAUUGAAGCUUCGGCAGAUUUAGCUGGUUUCUAGUGGCGGACGGGUGAGUAACGCGUGGGUAACCUGCCUUAUACAGGGGGAUAACAGUCAGAAAUGGCUGCUAAUACCGCAUAAGCGCACAGAGCUGCAUGGCUCAGUGUGAAAAACUCCGGUGGUAUAAGAUGGACCCGCGUUGGAUUAGCUGGGUGGUGGGGUAACGGCCCACCAAGGCGACGAUCCAUAGCCGGCCUGAGAGGGUGAACGGCCACAUUGGGACUGAGACACGGCCCAGACUCCUACGGGAGGCAGCAGUGGGGAAUAGUGCACAAUGGGGGAAACCCUGAUGCAGCGACGCCGCGUGAAGGAAGAAGUAUCUCGGUAUGUAAACUUCUAUCAGCAGGGAAGAUAAUGACGGUACCUGACGAAGAAGCCCCGGCUAACUACGUG
rnacentral:rRNA from 1 species